rnacentral:rRNA from 1 species
GCAGGCCGCGGUAAUACGGAGGGUGCGAGCGUUAAUCGGAAUUACUGGGCGUAAAGCGCAUGCAGGUGGUUUGUUAAGUCAGAUGUGAAAGCCCGGGGCUCAACCUCGGAAUUGCAUUUGAAACUGGCAAACUAGAGUACUGUAGAGGGGGUAGAAUUUCAGGUGUAGCGGUGAAAUGCGUAGAGAUCUGAAGGAAUACCGGUGGCGAAGGCGGCCCCCUGGACAGAUACUGACACUCAGAUGCGAAAGCGUGGGGAGCAAACAGGAUUAGAUACCCUGGUAG